GACGAACGCUGGCGGCGUGCCUAAUACAUGCAAGUCGAACGCAGUUGCGAACGGGUGAGUAACGCGUCGGUAACUGCCUCAUAGCGGGGGAUAACCAUCUGAAACGAUUGCUAAUACCCCAUACUGUGACACGGACCUGCGUUGUAUUGGGUUGUUGGUGAGGUAAAGGCGCACCAAGGCGACGAUACAUUGCAGACCUGUGAGGGGGAUCGGCCACACGGGGACGGAGACACGGCCCAGAGUCCUGCGGGAGGCAGCAAUAGGGAAACAUGGGCAAUGGGCGGAAGGCUGACCGAGCAACGCCGCGGGAGUGAAGAAGGUUGUCGGAUCGUAAAGCUCUGUUGUUAGAGAAGCGGUAACUAACCAGGAAGGGACGGCUAACUACGUGCCAGCAGCCGCGGUAAUAC
rnacentral:rRNA from 1 species